rnacentral:rRNA from 1 species
GUGCCAGCCGCCGCGGUAAUACCGGCAGCUCGAGUGGUCGUCGCUUUUAUUGGGCCUAAAACGUCCGUAGCCUGUUUGGUAAAUCUAUGGGUAAAUCAAUCCGCUUAACGGAUUGAAUUCUGCAGAGACUGCCAGACUAGGGACCGGGAGAGGUAUGAGGUACUCUGGGGGUAGGGGUAAAAUCCUGUCAUCCUCAGAGGACCACCUGUUGCGAAGGCGUCAUACUGGAACGGAUCCGACGGUCAGGGACGAAGCCUGGGGGCACGAACCGGAUUAGAUACCCGGGUAGUCCCAGGUGUAAACGCUGUGGAUUUGGUGUGUGGGGUCCGCAAUGGGCCCCAUGUGCCGGAGUGAAGAUGUUAAAUCCACUGCCUGGGGAGUACGGUCGCAAGGCUGAAACUUAAAGGAAUUGGCGGGGGAGCACUGCAACGGGAGGAGCGUGCGGUUUAAUUGGAUUCAACGCCGGAAAACUCACCAAGGCCGACUGCUAAAUGAAGAUCAGCGUAAUGAGCUUAUCGGAUUAUCAGAGAGGUGGUGCAUGGCCGUCGUCAGUUCGUACUGUAAAGCGUUCUGUUAAGUCAGAUAGCGAACGAGACCCGCAUCCCUAUUUGCCACCCUUUUCUCCGGAAAAGGCGCACCAUAGGGAGAUCGCUGGUGUGAAACCAGAUGAGAGCGCGGGCAACGACAGGUCAGUAUGCCCCGAAUGUCUUGGGCUACACGCGCGCUACAAAGGACGGGACAAUGGGAAGCCACGCCGAGAGGCGGCGCUACCCCGAAACCCGUUCGUAGUUCGAAUCGAGGGCUGUAACUCGCCCUCGUGAAGCUGGAUUCCGUAGUAAUCGUGUUUCAACAUAGCACGGUGAAUAUGCCCCUGCUCCUUGCACACACCGCCCGUC